rnacentral:rRNA from 1 species
UACGGAGGGGGCUAGCGUUGUUCGGAAUUACUGGGCGUAAAGCGCGCGUAGGCGGACCUGCAAGUCGUGGGUGAAAGCCCGAGGCUCAACCUCGGAACUGCCUUCGAUACUGCGGGUCUCGAGUCCGGGAGAGGUGAGUGGAAUUCCUAGUGUAGAGGUGAAAUUCGUAGAUAUUAGGAAGAACACCAGUGGCGAAGGCGGCUCACUGGCCCGGUACUGACGCUGAGGCGCGAAAGCGUGGGGAGCAAACAGG